CCUAUCGACUGCAUUCUUUCACCGCUCUUCUGUCACUCUCUUUCUCACAAGACCACCGAUAUCGGUGGUCUUGUGAGAAAGAGAGUGACAGAAGAGCGGUGAAAGAAUGCAGUCGAUAGGU
rnacentral:pre_miRNA from 1 species